rnacentral:rRNA from 1 species
AUGCCCUCUAGACUGACUGGUCAAACCAUCGGUCUAUACCUCAAGGGGCCCAGGGGGGAGCACCGGAGCAGAAACGCUGUUAGGAUUGUGGAAAAGUGGUGGCGACAGCAUGCAAUUGACUCCGAUGAUGGUACUUCUCAAGUACCUGGUCUCGAGCUCCGGGGUGAAAAUCUAGGUUUGACCCGAGUUGGCUAUACCUGGCAAUGGCGAUGUUUUUGCAUCGUUAUCUUGUUGAAUGCGUUGCUCGGAUAUGCUCAGAUUGGUUCUUCAGGGUGA